rnacentral:rRNA from 1 species
GGGCCCGCACAAGCGGUGGAGUAUGUGGUUUAAUUCGAUGCAACGCGAAGAACCUUACCUACACUUGACAUCCAGAGAACUUUCUAGAGAUAGAUUGGUGCCUUCGGGAACUCUGAGACAGGUGCUGCAUGGCUGUCGUCAGCUCGUGUUGUGAGAUGUUGGGUUAAGUCCCGCAACGAGCGCAACCCCUAUCCUUAGUUGCCAGCGAUUCGGUCGGGAACUCUAAAGAGACUGCCGGUGAUAAGCCGGAGGAAGGUGGGGACGACGUCAAGUCCUCAUGGCCCUUACGGGAUGGGCUACACACGUGCUACAAUGGCAGUGACAAUGGGUUAACCCCAAAAAGCUGUCUCAGUUCGGAUUGGAGUCUGCAACUCGACUCCAUGAAGUCGGAAUCGCUAGUAAUCG